AAAUGCAGGUUAAAAAAAUAAAAAGGUACUACACGUCAUGAACUCAUGAUCCCAGUUUUUUAACCAACAAGAGUAUUUCUAACUUCUCUGAGAGUUUUUUUUUUUCAUGUUCCUCCAGAUUAAAUCAGCAGCAGAGAACACAAACCAACAGCAGACCUCCUGGUGGUCCACGGUGUCUCACAGCGAGUCCUCCACCUGAGCAGGAAACAACAGGUCAGCACCUUGACGUCACCCCAGUGUCGACUCUGAGGAGACAUGUGGGGUUUGUUGAAACCCUUUUGGGAGGAGCUGUAAAGUCAGAUUAAGAUGGUUAAACAUCGAGGCCGAUGACAUUAUGUGGCACAAAACAAACCCAAGAGUCUCAGCUGGAGUCCGUACUCAAGGUCUGGAAUAAAACCCACAUUCAGAUUCAGAGAUCAAGUACACAACAGAUCUGGAUCCUGUGUAGAUCCUGGUCCAAAGUGCACCUCAACAAACGUUGGAUAGGCAGAUCUGUUUGUUCUUCUUCUUCCUUUAUCAGACUGUAAAC